rnacentral:rRNA from 1 species
GAACAAAAAAUCCUCCGAACGAUUCUAAAAACCAGACUCACCAGUCAAAUUAUUCUAUCGCUUAUUGACCCAAAAAUUUGAUCAACGGAACA